rnacentral:rRNA from 1 species
AGAUUCAAACUCGUACCUUUUGCAUCAUGAUUUAGCUAGAAAACCUCAAGCAAAGAGCACUUUAGUUUGACCCCCGGAAACUACGUGAGCUACUCCAAGACAGCCUAACAACUAGGGCAAACCCGUCUCUGUGGCAAAAGAGUGGGAAGAUCUUUGAGUAGAGGUGACAGACCUAUCGAACCUAGUUAUAGCUGGUUGCCUGAGAAAUGAAUAGAAGUUCAGCCUCUCGGAUUCUCCCCUCACCCCACCUCCCACCCCCCGACAAUUAAAAGAAACCGAAAGAGUUAGUCAAAGGGGGUACAGCCCCUUUGACACAAGAUACAACUUUUCCAGGAGGGUAAAGAUCACAAUUCAACACCAAGGUAAAAUGUUUAGGUGGGCCUAAAAGCAGCCACCCCAUAGAAUGCGUUAAAGCUCAAACAUAACCACCACCCCCAAUCCUGAUAAUCUUAUCUUAACCCCCUAACCCUACCAGGCCGUUCCAUGCAAACAUGGAAGCGACCAUGCUAAUAUGAGUAAUAAGAGAAUAGUCAUCUCUCUCCUUGCACA